GGGUCGGCCGAGAAUGGCGACUCAAACGGGCCGUAACCCCGUGCCCUUCGGGGCCUGUUGGUUCGACUCCAACCCGACCCACCA
rnacentral:tRNA from 1 species